rnacentral:rRNA from 1 species
UACAGAGGGUGCGAGCGUUAAUCGGAAUUACUGGGCGUAAAGCGCACGUAGGUGGCUUGGCAAGUCGGGUGUGAAAUCCCCGGGCUCAACCUGGGAACUGCAUUCGAGACUGCCUUGCUAGAGUAUGGGAGAGGGAAGUGGAAUUUCCGGUGUAGCGGUGAAAUGCGUAGAUAUCGGAAGGAACAUCAGUGGCGAAGGCGACUUCCUGGACCAAUACUGACACUCAGGUGCGAAAGCGUGGGGAGCGAACAGG